UACAGAGGUCUCAGGCGUUGUUCGGAUUCAUUGGGCGUAAAGGGUGCGUAGGUGGCUUGUUAAGUUGAAGGUGAAAUCUCGGGGCUCAACUCCGAAACUGCCUUCAAUACUGGCGAGCUCGAGGACUGUAGAGGAGAAUGGAAUUCACGGUGUAGCAGUGAAAGGCGUAGAUAUCGUGAGGAAGACCAGUGGCGAAGGCGAUUCUCUGGGCAGUUCCUGACUCUGAGGCACGAAUGCCAGGGGAGCAAACGGG
rnacentral:rRNA from 1 species